UUUGUGUGCCUCGAUUGAAUGAUUGAUUAGUCGGCUGACGGGUCGAUGUGUGCGUGUGCAAAUGCGCAAUAAAUCUUCGGAUUUUCUGCCUUAUCAUAUCAGUGAAACAAAAGAACCAUGGAAUCGGAAUCUUCAAUAUGCCGUAUUUGCCUCGUUAAUUAUGAUAUGGUCAACAAAACAAGCUUAAGGAACAUUUUGUAUUGCACACAGGAGAACAAGCAUUCAAGUAUUCCCAGUGCUCGAAGAAAUUCCGCUCUACUAAUAUUAUAUAUAUAUUACGUUCUUUUUAACUCUUUGACUCUACGUGUAUUGGGUAUACAAACUUAAAACUGGAACAAGUUGAA